UCUCAAAGACUGAUGGCAGGAGAGUGAGCCAGCUAGGAACGGGAGGGAGGUUCAAAGAAGCACGCGGGUGGGAGAUGGAAGGCCAAGUCUGGGGACCAUGAAGUGGGCCGGUGGAGCCUCAGAGACACCGGGAGGGCUUAGAGGUGGUUGGGAGCACAGUGGUUAGAGCUCUGGUCCUGGAACUGGGAAGAACUGAGUUCAAAUCCAGCUCCAGAGACUUACUGUGCAAUCCUAAACAAGUCUCUCUUUCCUCAGCUGUAAAAUGGAGAUAACAGCCCCUGCGCGGGAGCCUUGUGGUGCGGAGGAAAAGAGGAAUUCGCAAAAAGCACUUAGCACAGUCACUGGCACGUAGUAGGCACAUACGUAUUCCCUUCCCAGUGUGACAGAGGGUGCAUGAAAGGGCGCGAUCUGUAGGAAGCCAAGAAAGGUGGAUUGGAAUCAGAUUGUGAAGGGCUUUCAAUGCCUUUUAUCCAAAGGGAGCAGGGGAAGAGUCUGGGGCUUGUGCUCCAGGGGAUUACACCGGCAGCAGUGCGGAGGCCGAGAACUGAGAGUCAGCAGCCCCGCGAUUCUGGGGUGAUGUGGCGGGCACAUAACGGGGUGCGUGAAGUGAGGGCGGUGGGAAGUCAAGGAUGGGGAUGAGCUGACAAACGGCGGCGGGAAGGACAGGUAAAUGGUGCGGCGGGGACCCGGAGGCUGGAGGGCGAGGUCGGAGACGGUGACUUCGGGCCUUCCCAGGAGGCGGGGAGAUCCGCAAGGUGUAGUGCCCGGGCCUUCCCAGGAGGCGGGGAUAUGUACAAGGUGUAGUGCCCGGGCCUUCCCAGGAGGCGGGGAUACCCGCAAGGUGUAGUGCCCGGGCCUUCCCAGGAGGCGGGGAUACCCGCAAGGUGUAGUGCCCGGGCCUUCCCAGGAGGCGGGGAUACCCGCAAGGUGUAGUGCCCGGGCCUUCCCAGGAGGCGGGGAUACCCGCAAGGUGUAGUGCCCGGGCCUUCCCAGGAGGCGGGGAUACCCGCAAGGUGUAGUGCCCGGGCCUUCCCAGGAGGCGGGGAUAUGUACAAGGUGUAGUGCCCGGGCCUUCCCAGGAGGCGGGGAUAUGUACAAGGUGUAGUGCCCGGGCCUUCCCAGGAGGCGGGGAUAUGUACAAGGUGUAGUGCCCGGGCCUUCCCAGGAGGCGGGGAUACCCGCAAGGUGUAGUGCCCGGGCCUUCCCAGGAGGCGGGGAUACCCGCAAGGUGUAGUGCCCGGGCCUUCCCAGGAGGCGGGGAUACCCGCAAGGUGUAGUGCCCGGGCCUUCCCAGGAGGCGGGGAUAUGUACAAGGUGUAGUGCCCGGGCCUUCCCAGGAGGCGGGGAUACCCGCAAG